GGGUUAAGUCCCGCAACGAGCGCAACCCUUGUCUUUAAUUGCCAUCAUUCAGUUGGGCACUUUAAAGAGACUGCCGGUGUUAAACCGGAGGAAGUGGGGAUGACGUCAAGUCCUCAUGGCCUUUAUGCCCAGGGCUACACACGUGCUACAAUGGGUGGUACAAAGAGAUGCAAUCUCGCAAGAGCAAGCAAACCUCAAAAAGCCAUCCUCAGUUCGGAUUGGAGUCUGCAACUCGACUCCAUGAAGUCGGAAUCGCUAGUAAUCGCGGAUCAGCACGCCGCGGUGAAUACGUUCCCGGGCCUU
rnacentral:rRNA from 1 species